GCCCCUGAAGCAGCUCCAGGGAGAGUUCUGUUUAAAUAAAAGUUCUCAAACCGCAAUAAAAAGCUUUGGGGUUUACAAAAAUCCUUUCCUUUUGCUGUCCGCCCCUCCCCCGCAUAAGGCACGAUCAGAGUGAAGUAGGGGAUGAUACAGAAUCCGUGGAGCCACCCCCGGCGCCAGCGCAGGAGCAGGGGUUUGUAAGCAAUGGGGGUCCCGGAACUGCUUUCCCUCGAGGCAAGGCCGGCUCCUCCUGCGGGGGGACUUUGAAAAGGUGGCGAUGUGGCUGUGGGUAAUUGUGAGGCUGGAGGCUUAGGACGACUGAAGGGGGCCGGGAAGCGGGCUUGGGGAGGAAGGUGCAGGGGUCCGGCGGCGUUGACGGGGACAGAGCCCUCCCAGGCCUCCGCCCGGGACAGUCCCUACAAGUGGGUGUUUUCAUGCCGUGACUCCCAAAUAACCCGGGGGCUUCUCGAAUGAGUCAAACCGUGUGCUGUCCACUGAGCGCCGAGGCGCAGGGUUUGGCUCCGGGAGAAACCAUUUUGUUCCUGCCGUUUGCUUGCUAACGCCCAGUUACAAAAUGGAGAUUAAGCCAUUUCAAACCCAAUCCGACCUUCCUCCAAAGGACUGUAAACUACCUACGGUACCGAGAAAACAUGAAAGGUGGUUUUGAGAGCUAAUUUUAGACGUCCCAAGGAAUAGUUUCUGUGAACUUCUGGAUAAAGGACUUAAAUGUAAUAGUCAUUUCUUUAAUUAGCCUAAAUUGUAAGCUUAAAUCUACUUGCAAGUGGUUCUUAAGUAUUUCUGGGUAUUAGUUUUCAUUCAAGUUCCAUACAUUGUAAAGAAAAAUCCAGAAAGUUUAGAAGUCAGUCUAUUUUUAGUCCUGCAGAGGAACUAUUUUUGCUUCCCUCACAAAGGUGGCGGAGGGCUACUUGGUUCCGGCUGUGUGAGUUGUCAGUGGCCUAUAAAUACGCCUCUCCCGGCUCUGCGGCAGGCAUUCAGGCAGCGAGCGCAGAGAGAGCACAGGAGGUGGCAGCGCAGCUUGAGGAAGCGACAGAUAAGUUUUUCUAUCUGAAAAGAAAAGAUAGUGACUAGGAUAAUUUUAUCAGACAUAAAUAGGGAAUAGCUUUCUAAAAUAAUGCUUAGCGUUAAGUUCUUGAAGUAAUUUUAAUGCCAUUUAAAAAGAUUUUGAGGAAACUAGGCUUUAAAAGCUUGAGUAAAGAAGAAAAGUGUUUGUACAUGGCAGAUUGAGGCGAAGCUUCUUAAUAGAGUAAAAAAAGGAUUUGAAAGAAGUUGUCUAGAGGAUUGCAGAGUCCUUAAUAAAAGCCUUUAGUUGAAGUGCAGCCGUGUAAACUAACAUUAAAGCGAUUUAAACAGAAUCUAAGCCUCGUUUAAAAGAGUGAAGCUGUAGGUGGUGAAAAGUCAUUUAAAAGUAUAGUAUAGGUGAUAAUUGGAAGGCUUUAAAAGGUUAAAUUGAAGGUGGUUAAGAUGCCUUCAUGGCGGAGGAAUGAUUUGCGUCAUUCGAAGCCUAGUUAAUCUUAAAAGCAUUACUUAAAAAAAACCCCAUGAAAAUGGGAAGAUAAUAGGUUAAAAGCAAUUUGGAGAAAGAAGAUUAGAAAUUUGAAGUGGAAAACUUUGAAGACAGAAGUACAGGAAGGUGAAGAAGAGAUAGAGAAGAUGUAGGAAGACAAGAAUUUUAAACCCACAAAAUAGGAAGCAAAAGAAAACUAGGAGGAAAAAAGCAACUAAGGGUGAAUGUACAAACCUUAGAAGAAAACUAGAAGAUAGAAACAAGAUAGAAAAUGGUUGAAAAUGUCAAGUAAAGGUAUUUCAGAUAGAAAAUGCAAGAAGCUAAGACAUCUGUUGGAUACAGACAUUCAAGAUAGAAAAAGGUAGAAGAGAAGUUUGAAGUUGAAUAUUGGAUAAAAUAGAACAACAAGGAAACUAUUAGUAAUUUUUUCAAAAAGCCCAUCAACUUUAAUUUCUGGUGGUGCAGAAAUUAGAAGUCUCAGAUGAGGGUGUUCAAAUUUGUAGACGAGCCAAUUUAGAAAACGUUAAACUAGAAGGAAAUUGGUUUAAAACCACAUCAAAAAAUUAAAAGGACUAAAGUAAUUCUAAAAACUAAGGCAGAAUGCUUUUGGAAGACUUGAAUUUAAAAGGCUUUAGAUCCAGUAGUUUAGUUUGCUUUGAAAAAUAUAAAGGACUUUGAUUACUCAAGUAUUUCAAGAUCAAGAAUAAUGUGUUUGCAUUGGACUUUGAGCUAAGAUGAUUUGUAAAAUUAUGAGGACUAGCGUUAAUUGGCAGCUGACCCAGGUGCUACACAGAAGUGGAUGCAGUGAACCUAGGAAGACAGGAUUCCAGGAGCCAGUGUUUGAAGCUAGGACUGAGGAGCAAGCAGCAGUUCGUGGUGAAGAUAGGAAGGAGUCCAGGAACCGGUGCGGUUUGGUGAAGGAAGCUAGGAAGAAGGAAGGAGCCCUAACGAUUUGUGGUGAAGCUAGGAAGGCAUUCGAGGAAGGAGCAGCCAGUGCGAUUUGGUGCUGAAGCUAGCUGGCGUCUUUGGCUUGUCAACUACCGCGGAGGAGGCGAGCAUGCAUUGUGGAGAAUAGCUAGCCGACCCUAGACCAGCAUGGCAGUUUGCAAGGCUCCGGGGAGAGCGAGUGGUGUGGUAAAAGUCCGGGCGGUCGGCGAUGUCGUUUAUAUUGUAACUUGAGCGUGGUAACUUUAUUUACUUGUUUCCUAAUGAUAAUGGGGGAGUUGUACCUCUGGAGAGGGAUUUUCGUGGGGGUGUGUGUAUGCAUAUAGGCCGAUUUCCGGGUGUUGUAGGUUUUUCUUUUUCAGGCUUAUGUUCUCAUCUUUGUCUGAAGCUUUUGAGGGCAGACUGCCAAGGCCUCCAGAAAUGGUAGAUGGCAAGUUUUUUUUUUCCACCAGUGUGAAGGAAAAGUGAAUUUUACAGAACAUACAACUUCAAGCAGCUUGUGUUUUUAGUUGGCAAUGAAGUAUUUGGUGAAUAGAUGACUUAUUUUCUUUUUCCUCACCCUGAAUUAGUUUUGUAAAUGAGUCUGGGUGUUAAUUGGGGGGGAAGUUUUUCUUUUUUGUGGUGGGGAUGGCGAAAUGUUUUUGAGUUUUUUUCCCCUUAGGUCUUUCUAGACUCCUAAAGGCAAAUGACUCCAGGUAACAGAAAAAGAAAAUCCAGUAUCAGGAUAAUCAGAACACCACAGGUUUACAAUUUCUAGAAACUAGAUCCACGAGUAGCUCUCACUUUGGAGGAGCUGUCCUUUGGAGAAAUGGCUGGUAGUUAACUCUUUCUUUCCCCCCUUAAUCAGACUUCUAAAGUGUUUUAACCCCUUAAACUUAUUAUUACUGAAAGUAUUUGGGGAUGGUCUUUAACAGGGAAGAGAGGGGGUGGGGGAGCAAAUGUUUUCUUUCUAAGAUUUUCCACAGAUGCUAUAGUACUAUUGGCAAACUGGUUAGAGAAGGCAUGUACUGCUAUGCUGUUGGCACGAACACCUUCAGGGAUUGGAGCAGCUUUUAUCCUUGGAAGAGUUUUCCCAAUUGAAGCUGAAAAGUACAGCACAGUGCAGCUUUGGUUCAUAAUCAGUCAACUCAGGAGAACUUCAGAAGCGCUUGACUAGGCCAAAUGUUGAAGUUAAGUUUCCAAAGUAAUUUAAAAUACUCAUUAAAGGGGAGGGGAAAUUUUUGGCAAUUAGUUGGCAGUGGUCUAUUGUGGUUGGGGUGGGGGGGUUAGGUAAUUGUUUAGUUUAUGAUUUCAGAUAAUUCAUGCCAGAGAACUUUAAAUACUUAGGAUGGAAAACUAAAGAACUCUACUUCCAAGUUGGCAAGUAACUCCCAAUCAUUUAGUUUUUUUCCACCAAUUUUGGAAUUGGGCAUCCUGGGAAGAUUUCACUGGGUGUACCAGUGCAUUAUUAAUUUCGGCAAGGAUAGUAAAUCAUGGUAUGGUAUCUGUUCCCCUGUGUAGGUCUUGGGGAAGUGUUGGAUUGGGGGUUGGUCUAGCUUAUUGGAAUGACAUUGAAUAGCAACAGUCUUGGGGAAUUUUAAAGCUUAAUUUUGGAUAUAGAUGGUAGUGUGUGGUUCUCUUUUGGAAUUUUUUUCAGGUGAUUUAAUGUAACUUAAUACUACUAUAGGAACUUCAGAGCAAAGGAAGUGGCUUAAUGAUCCUGAAGGGAUUUCUUCUGAUGGUAGCUUUUAUAUUAUCAAGUAAGAUCCUGUUUUCAGUUGUGUGAGCAAGUUUUUCUAGUGUAGGAAAAUUUUUUCCUUUGGCAAAACAAGAUGUAAAGGUAUGAAAUUUUGUGAAUUGUAUCUUAAACUUGUAACUAUUUGUAAAUCAUAACUUAUUAAGAAUUGUGAUACUUAAAUGUCUCUUAGAGGGUGGGCAUUUGAUGAGGGAGGGGAAACCUUUUUUUUCUGUAGACUUUUUUCAGAUAACAUCCACUGAGUCAUAACAAGCCUGGCAGUAUGAUGGCCUAGAUGCAGAGGGAACAGCUCCUUGGUGAAUGAUAAGUAAAGGCAGAAAAGAUUAUGUCAUACCUCCAUUGGGGAAUAAGCAUAACCCUGAGAUCUUACUACUGAUGAAAAUAUUGUCUGCAUAUAAAAAAGAGAAAGCUACCAAUUUAAAGUUUUAUGGAAUCUACCAUUUAAAAAUUAUGGCUUAUUGAGCUAUAUUCUCAAAAGAAUUGAUGAAACAUGAAGAUCAAAUGUCCAUCUCAAAACACUGCUUUUACAAAAGCAGAAUAAAAUGGAAAGAAAUGAAAAUGAUUAUACUACAUUGUUCCUGAAGUAAAAGAAGCUGAAAUAAUUGAGUUGGGAUCAAGUGGAUAUGAAAGGAGGCUGUGCUGUGUGCCAAUCUUUCGUUUGCCUCAGACAGGUUUCUCUUCCGUUAUCAGAAGAGUUGCUUCAUUUCAUCUGGGAGCAGAAAACAGCAGGCAGCUGUUCACAGAUAAGUUUAACUUGCAUCUGCAGUAUUGCAUGGUUAGGGAUAAGUGCUUAUUUAUAAGAAGGUGUUGAACCUGGCACUCUUUCCUGACCCCUUCCUUAGGGGGAUAUCAGGAUUGUGAGACAUUUCCCCAUCUAGCCUUUUUAAAUUGUGCCUUGUGCCUGUGGGCUUCCAUGAUAGGAUGGUAUACCUCACUCAGAGGCAUUUGCACCAUAAUUCCUUAAAAGCCUCUUAAGUGACCAGUGCCUUAGUCAUAAUGCUUAAUAAAACAAAGGAAAUAUUUUUAACAUUGAAUCUAUAAAACCCUAAAAGGGAUAGCAUAAUAUACUGUUAAGAGUCAGCUAUGUUAAUUUUGAUAAAAUUUUCAUGUUACCUUACAAUGUAUAUCGUGCCUAAAACCAUUAAAUCGUAUAAAUUAAUAAAAUAUUUUAUUAGAGAAUGUAUGCUUUUAGAAAGCUGUCUCCUUAUUUAAAUAAAAUAUUGUUUGUAGUUAGUGUUGGGGCAAUCUUGGGGGGUAUUCUUCUCUAAUCUUUCAGAAACUUUGUCUUCGAACACUUUAAUGGACAAGAUCAGAAUUGAGCGGAAGACCGAAUUUUAACUUUAAGGCAGGAAAGACCAAUUUUAUUCUUCAUAAAAUGAUGAGCAUUUAAUUAAUAAUUCCAGGCACAUGACAAUAGAGACCCUUAAAUAAGGAAUAAAUACCUUUUAGACAGGUGGGAGAUACAGAUCAGAAUAAAAGGUAACUACACAUUUUGUUUCCAGAUAGCCAGGGGUCUAUAAGUUGACAGUGAUUAAACUAGAAUAAGAUGAUUUUUCCACAUUUCCAUAGUUUGCAUGUUAACUUUAAAUGCUUAUAAUCAUCUCAUCAAUUGUUGGCAAAUGUUUUACACAAUUCAGCUAGGCAUUGGGGGCAUGUGGGUUUUUUAAGAAUUUUCCUUUGCAGAGGCAUUUCAUCCUUCAUGAAGCUGUUCAGGAUUUUGACUUGCAUAUGAGUGCUUGGCUCUGCCUUCUGCUAGUGAGUGUGAGACCUUGCAGUGAGUGUAUCAGUAUACUCAAAUUUUCCUGGAAUUUGGAGGGAAGGGAGGAGGGGAUGGGGCUUACUUGUUUUAGCUUCUUUUUUUACAGACUACAGAGAAAAUGCAGUUGUCUUGACCUCAGGUCUGUCUAUUCUUUUGGCAAGUAAUAAUGCAGUACUGUUCUGAUCUGCUGCUAUUAGAAUGCAUUGUGAAACGACUGGAGUAUGAUUAAAAAUGUGUGUUUCCCCAAUGCUUGGAGUAGUGAUUGUUGAAGGAAAAUCCAUGAGUGAUAAAAAAGGCUGAGUGUUGAGGAAAUUUCUGCAGCUUUAAGUAAUCCAUGUUUGUGAUUGAAGCCAAGUACCUUUUGCUGUGCUGCUUUAGGUAAAAUGCUUUUUGUUCUUUCUGGUAGGGGGGUGGGGGGACACUGAAGCCUUUAGUCUUUUUCAGAUUCCACCUUAAAAUCAGUGACAAGAAUAAAUUCAAACAAGCAACUCUUCAAGAAAUUUUACUGGCAAGUGGAAAUGUUUUGAACAGUUCAGUAGUCGUCAGUGCAUUGUCUUUGUGUGGGUUUCUCUCCCCCUCCCCUUGGUCUUAAUUCUUACAUACAGGAACAUUGAGAACAGCAGACAUACGUAUGCGAAGGGCCAGAGAAGCCAGACUCAGUAAGGAAAAAAUAGCCUAUCUACUUUAAAUAAACAAAUCAAAUAUUUCAUUUUAAAUGUGGGGAUUGGGAACUACUAGUCUUUCAGAUGGUAUUCUUCAGACUAUAAAAGGAACUUCCAGUUGAUUUCACCAGUGGACAAAUUGAGGACAACAGGUGAAUAAGCUUUUUCUAUUUUUACAUACAAAGAUCAGUUAUGGGUAAAUGACUCAGUGUUGAACAGACUUCAGCUUUAUGCUGGAGUCAGUAGCAUGUGAUCAAGUUGUGUGUUGGCCUUGGGGGUGGAGGGGUGAGGUGGGCGCUAAGCCUUUUUUUAAGAUUUUUCAGGUACCCCUCACUAAGGCAUCGAAGGCUUAAAGUAGGACAACUGGAGCCUUCCUGUGGCAAGAGAGACAACAAAGCGCUAUUAUACUAAGGUCAAGAGUGGUUUCGGCCUCAACCUAAUUUUUAUUAGCAAUGAGGACUUGCCUCAACACCUUCUGGCAUGCAGCAUCCAGAAGAAUGCUCCUGGGCUUACCUUAAUAUUUGAAUAGCUGUUUUUAUAGCAGCUUAUGAAAAAGCCCAGAUCUCAAGUGGUGUUUGAGGGGAGGGAAAGGGGGAAAGCGGGCAACCAGUUUUCCCUAGCUUUUCCAGAACCUGUUUAAAGCAAGGUCUCCCCACAAGUGACUUCUCUGCCACAUCGCCACCCCCUGCCUUUGGCCUAGCACAGACCCUUCACCUCUCACCUCGAUGCAGCCAGUAGCUUGGAUCCUUGUGGGCAUGCUGCAUAAUCGGUUUCAAGGUAACCAUGGUGCUGAGGUCUGGUGGGUUGCACUACUUUAGAAGAGGCCGCUAAUCUAUAAAUUUUUAACAGAAUAUUUAAACCACAGAAAUAGCUGGUUUUUAUGUAUAUACACUUAUCCAGUGACUAAAACCAACUUAAACCAGUACAUAGAGAAAUGUCAAGAAUGUAAUAUUGGGUGGGAACAUGACUUGUCAGCUUAAGAUAGGCUUUAGCAGUGGAGAGGACUGCUGGGUGGGAUUGCAAAAAUUCUCUGCUAAGACUUUUUCAGGUGAAUAUAACAGACUUGGCCAAGCUAGCAUCUUAGCGGAAGCAGAUUCUCCAGUGCUCUUCAGUAGGGUUGUAAAAGGUUUUUCUUUUCCUGAGAAAACAAAUUUUUGUUUUCUCAGGUUUUGCUUUUUGGCCUUUCCCUAGCUUAAAAAAAAAAGCAAAAGAUGCUGGUGGUUGGCACUCCUGGCUUCCAGGACGGGGUUCAAAUCCCUGCAGCGUCUUUGCUUAAUUCUUAAUAUCUGUCUUUAGGAGGUGCUGUCUCAGAAGGUGGGAAUGCCUCAGAACUAUACAUAGCUUUUUUUUGUUGUUGUUGUUAACACAUAUUUUUUAGUUGUAGAUGGACAUAAUACCUGUAUGCCUCAUGCAUGCUAGGCAAGCACUGUACCACUGAGCCACAACCCCAACCCUAUACAUAGCUUUGUUGUUUGUCUGAAGUCUGACUGGGUUGUAGAUUGUUUUCAUGUGAGUACCUGAUAACUGUUGUCUUUUUCAGGUAAUCCUGCAUCUAGUGCUUGGAUAAGCCC
rnacentral:lncRNA from 1 species